AUUGAACGCUGGCGGCAGGCCUAACACAUGCAAGUCGAACGGUAACAGGAAGAAGCUUGCUUCUUUGCUGACGAGUGGCGGACGGGUGAGUAAUGUCCGGGAAACUGCCUGAUGGAGGGGGAUAACUACUGGAAACGGUAACUCAUACCGCAUAACGUCGCAAGACCAAAGAGGGGGACCUUCGGGCCUCUUGCCAUCGGGUGUGCCCAGAUGGGAUUAGCUAGUAGGUGGGGUAACGGCUCACCUAGGCGACGAUCCCUAGCUGGUCUGAGAGGAUGACCAGCCACACUGGAACUGAGACACGGUCCAGACUCCUACGGGAGGCAGCAGUGGGGAAUAUUGCACAAUGGGCGCAAGCCUGAUGCAGCCAUGCCGCGUGUAUGAAGAAGGCCUUCGGGUUGUAAAGUACUUUCGGCGGGGAGGAAGGGAGUAAAGUUAAUACCUUUGCUCAUUGACGUUACCCGCAGAAGAAGCACCGGCUAACUCCGUG
rnacentral:rRNA from 1 species